AUGAAGAGCAGGUGGCCUCAUUUGCAGAAAGCACUUCCUCAGAAGCAGCACCUUCACUGCCUCCUCUUCCUCCACGUGGCUGUCGGGCAGGCGAGGGCGAUUGCGUUCCCCUCCCGCGCCGUGCUGCCUGUCCGCCUGUGGGACCUGCUCCGUGGGCUUUUCAUCAGCUGCCAUUUUCACCAGCAUGCAGGAACUCAGAGGACAAGGAGAAUAACCAUUCCUGUUAAUUGUGGUUUGGUGAAGAAACAAAGCCUGUCGCUCUGCAGUCUGAUCUGCCCGGCUGUCCCAAUCCACUCCAGAACAGGAAGAAUGUACAGACAAUCAGAUCAAGAUCAAGAGAGAAUUGUGUACAAGACUCUUUGAAGGGAAUGAAUUGGAUGAAAUGCUUUUGAGGGACUGACAUUGAGGUACAUGUAAGUGGAGUAUCUAACAUCCCUGGGGGUCUGUGGUUUUACACAAAACUGAAACGACUGCUUCCUCACCUGGCUUGCCGACGAUCACAUCUGCAUCCUGUGUUAACGGGGCAGUCCAGCAAUCUCCACACCGCCAAUGCACCGUUAAUUGCGCUGGAAGCCACUGAAGUCACCGUUACAGAUAGCUGCCAGUUUUAUUUCACUGCUUAUCAUAAAGCUUCCACAUGUCCCAGUUCCAACACUAAAAUAAAAACAGAUAAUAUUGUCUUAAUUGCA
ensembl:lncRNA